UUACUCCUUUAGGUUCUCAGUCUGAUUAUUAACUUCUCUGCAUUCGCCUUCGCAAUAACCUUUUCCUUUUGCUUCUGCUACAUCACUCAUUGACAACUAUUAACUCUAUCAACUGACACAAUAAUAACAAUAACAAUUCACAUGAGACGCAACUGAGUCUGUCUAAAAAAUGACAAUUGUCUUUGAGGGAAACACUUACGCAUAAAACAAACCAGAAUCACUGGUGAUAUCAGAUUAGCACGACUUUUGAGCCAGACCGUUUACAUGACAUGCCGCGCCGGAAUGGCGUAUCGAUCGUGUACGCAUGACGACACACUAAACCACUACUCGUGGCUCCUCCACGCAUAUUUUGUCCGAUUGUGAGAAAUAAAGGAUAAAAGAGAGUGUUCUGUACUGAGUAACAGAGUUUUAAUGCCGAGAGAAUAACGAAGAGUUGAUAAGUUUAAUAAACGUUGAACAGACAGGAGUAGGAACUGGUGGAUGUAACAAAUAAAAAAAACAACAAAGUUAAGCUGUGGAGUGUAGGAGCUAGUGCUGGCUGUACGCGACACCGUCGACGCACACCCGAUAGCUACAGUCAGCUAAAGCGCGACUACACUAGUACUAGUCUGUAGUCUUGACUUGAGUAUCUUCUAGCUGAGCUAGUGUGCCGAUGCUACGAUGUAAUGCUAAAAUAUGUUGUGGUUGUGAGUUAUAAAACGCACUACGCGCGCGCAUAUCAUCGUUCAAACUGUACUUGAAAUCCACUCACAGACUCACACUAUCCUACAUGUAUGUGCGCCAUCUACGAGGUUGAUACCUUGCGCAGACAACUACCACUUAUGUACCGUAAUCUACAACAGGACGCACGCGCGCACUAGUAGUCGAGCCCUCGGGCUUAUCUGUGUAUGUGUUUCGCGACCUCGUUCAAUGUAUACGUCCCAGUCGUCGCGACGACGCCUCCUCCCGCACCAACGCGUCUACCCUAAUCAUCUACAUACAUAUCCACAUAUAUAUACAUAUAUAUAGAGGAAUAUCUAUGCAUGUAUGGAUGAAAACUCCAAUACUAGGGACAGUAACAGCAACGGGGAAAUGGGAUAGGAUGCUAUAGGCGCGACAAGAGGGGUCAUAUAUUUUUUUUUUCCAUGUGUAUGUCUGUGUACGUCGACGUCGUCGUCGGUCGAACGUCUAGUCAUGUGACCUUCCCGUCAAAAUAGCCUGCGUACCCACACGCCGCGACCACUGACACGCACGAGUAUCGCGUGUGUGUGGGUCUGUAAGUAUGUGCACUUAAAUAGGGAGCCGAGGCUUGGUUAUUAUAAUUGAAGGGAAAAUAUUUAUAAAAAAUGAAUAAGGGUGGAUUUAAUUAUUGAUCUGUUAUGAUAUGUUGAGGUGGUAUUUUAAUUUGAAAUAUUACUGGGUCUUGAUACGAGGCUCGGUGAUAAAGUUACAUUGGGGAGUAGGGAGCUGAAGCUGAGGGGUCUAGGGUAUUGCGAUACUAAGUUGAGUUGGUGUAUAAAGUACUGGAGCAAAGAGGAUGGGAGUAGAGAGGAGUAGAGAAGGAGAAGAUGUAAAAGAACUGUACGCUUAGUUUCAAUACCUUUACUUUACUUAACUUUAACUUGCAUUUAGCUUACUGGCAGCGGCACUUUAAAGCACUCGGUUGCUAGUAAGAGUAGUCAAGGCAGCUGAGUAGAGUACAGAGCCGGUGGAUAUACAAGUAGAAAAGAGUUGAGCCCCGACGAGCAAACCCGACGCUGGAUGCAAAAUAUCACGAAUGCAACGCGCGCAAUUUUACGAUCGUCAUGGAAUGCACAUUGUUCUCUCACUUCUGUACUUCCCUUGUCAUAAUUUUUUUUUUUUAAUAUAUACGCGUAAUUAUUUUUUUUUUCUCUUCAUACGCCUCUGCAGAUGCUUUUACUACACAUAUUUUUUACGAUGAUAAAAUAUAAACUAUUAAAUAGUAAAAAUAAUAUAAUAUGUAUAUUAGACUGAUUCAAAAAAAUCGACUAAUUUUUUUUUUCUUCAUUAUAUCGAAAAUAUUUUUGGAAAUGACGUAAAAAAAAUACUGUAAAAGUUUGAGCUCUUAAUAUUAAUAUUAACAACUGCCGCAUCGCGAUUUUCUAUUUCCCGUUUAAAUAACGUGGGAAAAUUUAUUUUUUGAGCUUUGGAAUUUUGUAGCUCACGGUGGGACCAAUACUUUUGAAUAUUCAAGACAUAUUCUUAUGGGAAAUUUGACGCUCUACAAAAAAGGUCUCUUAUAAUUUUUCGAUAUUUUUAUUUCUUCAAAAGUAAUUCGAAGUUAAAGUUAUAUUGACGAUAAAUUUUCACAUUUUUGAAAUUUUUUGACGCAACCAUCAACUUUAUCCGAAAAUUUUAGAGGACAUUUUUUGUAGAGCAUUUUAUUUCCUACAACUUAUCUCUGAGAAAAUUUUCGAUAUUUCUCAUGAGUCGUAAGUUAUUCGCAAUUAACUGAAAAUUUAAUAUAAUUAAUUUUAAACAACAAAAUUUAGAUUAUUUAAGAAAAUUUUCAGUUAAUUGCAAAUAACAUACGACUUAAGUGAAAUAUCGAAAAUUUUCUCUGAGAUAAGUUGUAGGAAAUAAAAUGCUCUACAAAAAAUGUCCUCUAAAAUUUUCGGAUAAAGUUUAUGGUUGCGUCAAAAAAUUUAAAAAAUGUGAAAAUUUAUCGUCAAUAUAACUUUAACUUCGAAUUACUUUUGAAGAAAUAAAAAUAUCGAAAAAUUAUAAGAGACCUUUUUUGUAGAGCGUCAAAUUUUCCAUAAGAAUAAGUCUUGAACAUUCAAAAGAAUUGGUCCCACCGUGAGCUACAAAAUUCCAAAGCUUAAAAAAUAAAUUUUCCCAUGUUAUUUAAACGGGAAAUAGAAAAUCGCGAUGCGGCAGUUGUUAAUAUUAAUAUUAAGAGCUCAAACUUUCACAGUAUUUUUUUUUCGUCAUUUCCAAAAAUAUUUUCGAUAUAAUGAAGAAAAAAAAAUUAGUCGAUUUUUUUGAAUCAGUCUAAUGUAUAUAAAAUAUUUAAAAUCUGCAGUAUUGAGUUUAUAAUAGACAAAUAAAAAAUUAAUUUUGCUGGUGUAUUGAUUUUACUAUUAGUAAUUCAUCGAGUUUCAAAUAAAAUAUUUUUAAAUAUUUAUAAAAGGUUCAAUAAUUUUUAAUUCACAUCGUUCAGCUAAUGGGUGAUAAGUAAUGAGAGACAAAAAAGUAUUUUUAAUUACAUUUACGUAUUUUACUGACGUUUGUAAUAUUUUAUAUAUUCAUAUGUCGUAAUGUAUAAUGGA